rnacentral:rRNA from 1 species
UACGGAGGGUGCAAGCGUUAUCCGGAUUCACUGGGUUUAAAGGGUGCGUAGGCGGCGGGGCAAGUCUGGUGUGAAAUCCCGGGGCUCAACUCCGGAACUGCACUGGAUACUGCCUUGCUAGAGUACUGGAGAGGGAACUGGAAUUUACGGUGUAGCAGUGAAAUGCGUAGAGAUCGUAAGGAAGACCAGUGGCGAAGGCGAGUUCCUGGACAGUAACUGACGCUGAGGCACGAAGGCUAGGGGAGCAAACGGG